GAGGGGUCCCACCCGUUCCCAUUCCGCACACGGAAGUUAAGCCCUCUAGCGCCGAUGGUACUGCACUGUAGUGGUGUGGGAGAGUAGGUCGUCGCCAGGC
rnacentral:rRNA from 1 species